UACGAGGGGGGCGAGCGUUGUCCGGAUUUAUUGGGCGUAAAGAGCGUGUAGGCGGUUUGGUAGGUCCGUUGUGAAAACUCGAGGCUCAACCUCGAGACGCCGAUGGAAACCAUCAGACUAGAGUCCGGAAGAGGAGAGUGGAAUUCCUGGUGUAGCGGUGAAAUGCGCAGAUAUCAGGAAGAACACCCGUGGCUAAGGCGGCUCUCUAGUACGGUACUGACGCUGAGACGCGAAAGCGUGGGGAGCAAACAGG
rnacentral:rRNA from 1 species